AUUGAACGCUGGCGGCAGGCCGAACACAUGCAAGUCGAGCGGAUGAAGGGAGCUUGCUCCUGGAUUCAGCGGCGGACGGGUGAGUAAUGCCUAGGAAUCUGCCUGGUAGUGGGGGAUAACGUCCGGAAACGGGCGCUAAUACCGCAUACGUCCUGAGGGAGAAAGUGGGGGAUCUUCGGACCUCACGCUAUCAGAUGAGCCUAGGUCGGAUUAGCUAGUUGGUGGGGUAAAGGCCUACCAAGGCGACGAUCCGUAACUGGUCUGAGAGGAUGAUCAGUCAAAACGGAAACGAGACAAGGUUCCGACUCCCAACGGAGGGAGGAGGUGGGAAUAUUGGACCAUGGGCCAAAGGCUGAUCCAGGCCAGCCGGGGGGGUGAAGAAGGUCCUCGGAAUGUAAAACAACUUAAAGUUGGGGGAAGGGCAGUAAGUUAAUACCUUGCUGUUUUGACGUUACCAACAGAAUAAGCACCGGCUAACUUCGUG
rnacentral:rRNA from 1 species